GGCCCCUCUCGGGUUACCGAAUUCAGACAAACUCCGAAUGCCAAUUAAUUUAACUUGGGAGUCAGAACAUGGGUGAUAAGGUCCGUGUUCGAAAGGGAAACAGCCCAGACCACCAGCUAAGGUCCCAAAAUAUAUGUUAAGUGGAAAAGGAUGUGGCGUUGCCCAGACAACUAGGAUGUUGGCUUAGAAGCAGCCAUCAUUUAAAGAGUGCGUAAUAGCUCACUAGUCGAGUGACACUGCGCCGAAAAUGUACCGGGGCUAAACAUAUUACCGAAGCUGUGGAUUGUCCUUUGGACAAUGGUAGGAGAGCGUUCUAAGGGCGUUGAAGCAUGAUCGUAAGGACAUGUGGAGCGCUUAGAAGUGAGAAUGCCGGUGUGAGUAGCGAAAGACGGGUGAGAAUCCCGUCCACCGAUUGACUAAGGUUUCCAGAGGAAGGCUCGUCCGCUCUGGGUUAGUCGGGUCCUAAGCUGAGGCCGACAGGCGUAGGCGAUGGAUAACAGGUUGAUAUUCCUGUACCACCUAUAAUCGUUUUAAUCGAUGGGGGGACGCAGUAGGAUAGGCGAAGCGUGCGAUUGGAUUGCACGUCUAAGCAGUAAGGCUGAGUAUUAGGCAAAUCCGGUACUCGUUAAGGCUGAGC
rnacentral:rRNA from 1 species